rnacentral:rRNA from 1 species
UACGUAGGGGGCUAGCGUUGUCCGGAUUUAUUGGGCGUAAAGAGCGUGUAGGCGGCCAAGUAGGUCCGGUGUGAAAACUCGAGGCUUAACCUCGAGAUGUCAUCGGAAACCAUUUGGCUAGAGUCCGGAAGAGGAAAGUGGAAUUCCUGGUGUAGCGGUGAAAUGCGCAGAUAUCAGGAAGAACACCAAUGGCGAAAGCAGCUUUCUGGGACGGUACUGACGCU